rnacentral:rRNA from 1 species
GACGAACGCUGGCGGCGUGCUUAACACAUGCAAGUCGAACGGAAAGGCCCUGCUUUUGUGGGGUGCUCGAGUGGCGAACGGGUGAGUAACACGUGAGUAACCUUCCCUUGACUUUGGGAUAACUUCAGGAAACUGGGGCUAAUACCUGAUAGGAGCUCCUGCUGCAUGGUGGGGGUUGGAAAGUUUCGGCGGUUGGGGAUGGACUCGCGGCUUAUCAGCUUGUUGGUGGGGUAGUGGCUUACCAAGGCUUUGACGGGUAGCCGGCCUGAGAGGGUGACCGGCCACAGUGGGACUGGGAUACGGCCCAGACUCAUAAGGGAGGCAGGAGUGGGGAAUAGUGCAAAAUGGGCGGAAGCCGGGUGGAGCAACGCCGGGUGGGGGAUGACGGCCUUCGGGUUGUAAACGGCGUUAGCCUGCGACGAAGCGUGAGUGACGGUAAUGGGGAAAGAAGCACCGGCUAAUUACGU